AUAGGAUUUAAUGUAUUUGGUGUAAUUAUAAUGUCUUGUCCUAUUUGGAAGAACAAAUAAUUACUUGGUCAGUAGGUAAUUAGUGUAAUUGGCAGGAUUACACUCUACAAUUUGCAUGCAGAGGUUGUGAAUUGAUGGUAAUUACGUGAUGUAAUUACCACUUAAUUUUUUUUUAAUUUUAAUUUUUUUGUUUUAAAUUUUUACUUCUAUUAUUUUAGGUUCUUUUUUAUUCUUAUUAUUCUAAAAUUUAUAAAACUACAUUUUUUUUAUUUUAUAUUAUUAUAUUUCAUUUUCUUCUUAUUCUCAACAUUACUUUACGUGAUUCUAUGUAAAAUUCUCGUAUUAUCUGUAAGAUCCCGAAAAUGAGAUAAAGUGUCUAGAGCCUAACAUGUUUUUCAUAAAGUUAUAAUGUCCUAAAUACGCUUAAAAUAUAGUAUAUAGGUGGUAGCUAAAAUAUUAGAGGUAUUGGAAGUCGAACGUUGAGGGACGCCUAAGACGUUCGACGACUAAGUCACCUAGAUGCCUAAUAUGUGGUUCUAUGUGUUUGUGGGUGUUUAAUGAUGUUCUAAUGUUCUAAAAUAUCUUAUUAUAUGGUUUAGAGGCAGUGUGAAAAGUUUGAAUUGAUUUGGAAGUUGAACGUCAAGGGACGACCAAGACCUUGACGACUAGUCGCUUAUGUGCCUCAUGUGUCUUUGUAUGCCUAAAUCUUUAUGAUAUGAGUCUAAUAAGUCUUUAAAAUGGUUUUAAAAUGAUGUUUUAUUGUGUUAUACUACGUUUCGUGAAGUUUGGAGGUCAAACGCCCAAGAACGUCCAAGACGUUCGAAAGAUAGCCCCAAGACGUUCAUCGUAUGUCAUGUUGGGGCCAAGGCUGUUUGGACGUCUAAUAGGUGUUUGUUUUGGAUGAAAUAUAUGUGGUAGGUCUAUAACUUGUUAAGGUUUGUAAUCACGUUGAAAACGUCCGAGUACGACUUCUAAAAGGCCCCACAAGAGGCCUCAAAAGAAGGACCCAAAACCAGUGUGCAGGCUGUCUCAGGCAGAUCCUGGCGACGGAGCAGUCAACGGCCAGCCAUGGCUGUGAUGGCCCGUCAAAGGGUCCCGUCGUGAGGGACUUAUCCAAGGAUGAACAGAGGAACCUUGGUCAGCCACUGUAGCCAACGACGGAGGCCUGUGAUGGCCAGUCGUGGCUUUAACGCCCCGUUAAGGCCCAUCCAUCGCACGACUGCCUCCUGCGCAUGUCUGCUGCCAAUUAAAGGGGUGAAUGGGAAAUUCACCCCACGUCCCUCCUGACUAUAGUAGAUUUAUGUCACUAUUUUUUGGUGAAUAUAAGUCAUCAAAAACGUGAUCACCCCAUUCUAGAAUCCUCUAACAAGAUUGAAGCAUUUCCCUCCAAAAAUACUCUCUUUAGAAACCACCAUUGUUGGUGAAGCUCAAGAACAAAUUCAAGCUGGGUUUUCCAUGGAUGAAUCAUCAUGUUUAAGAGGUUUUCAACUAGACAAAGCUUAAACCAGCAGCCUUGAAAACUUCUAGGGUUUUUGAAGAAACCCUCAUAUCUGCAAACCAAGUGUGAAUGAAAGUUGAAGUUUUAGACGAAUUCAAGUUAAACGGAGAAGUUGCAAAAAUUGAGAUUAAAACCAAAAAGGGGAAGCUAAAUCGUGAUAGUUAUAUAGGUCAGAGGAUAAGGUAUGUAAGGCUAUUCGAUUCCAUAUUCCUUGGCAUGAAAUCUGAUACUUGAUGAUUAAUAUCAAUAAAGUGAAUCUCUUAAGUGAUAUUCCUAGUAAAGGACACAUAGUGGCUGCGUACUAUCUCCAAAUAGCUAACAAUAUUUCUCCCUCUCCUUAGUGACUAUAAUUACUUCAUUAUAUGUUAACU